CCAUGACUCACAGAUGAAAAGCAGCUAAGGACAAUUUCUAAUUUUUUCUUUUCAGUUUUGUUUGCCCUACUCAAACUAGAAGGGGAAAAAUGCUGAAUUUGUUUAUUCUGUCGCUAUGUUAACUUUGCAUAAACUCUAAGCAGAAUCAGUGCGUGCUCUUGGGAGGUGGCCUUUCCUAGCAGCUACUUCAGACCAUAUAUGCUUAAGAUUAUUACUGCACGCAGCUAUGGAUAAUACUUUUACUGGGUGGAUAACAGGGUUUCACUGGGUGUAACAACAACAACAACAAAAAGUCAAAGAAUGAAGACUGUUUAAGAAUUUAAUAAGGAAGCAACACUGAGGUGAAUUCCAGAAAGUACCUGUGGGACACAAGUUGGAGAACAGACAGAUGUGAUCCUUGGAGCAAUCUUGCUUAAAAUCUGUCUUCCAUGAAAAUGCUUUGAUUGACAGUUCAAUUUUAUAAUGGUAACAAGAUCAACAGUCUUGCUGCUUUGUAUGAGUUUUAAGCAAGUAAAUGGGUCCCAGAGUUUCCUUCAGGCUCUCUAGCACGGUGCUGGAAAUGCAGCAUCAGUGUCAAACGAAGCGUGACCAGCAGGGCAAAGUGAGUGGCUGUUCACCUCUAUUCUUCCCUUGUGAGAUUUCAUUUGCAGUACUGCAUUCAGCUCUGGGGGCACCAACAUGAGGACACAAAGUUGUUGCAGUGAGCCCUGAAUAAAGCCAAAAAGAUGAUCAGAGGGGUGGAGCACGUAUAAAGGUAGGCUAAGAGUGUUGAGGCUCUGGGUAAGGAGUCUCUGGGGAGACUAUAGUGGCCUUCCAGUAUUCAAAAGGGGCCUCAAUCUCAAGAUGAGGAGAGAUGCUUUAUCAGGGACUGUAGUAAUAGCACAAUGGGUAACAGCUUUAAACUAAAAGGGGGUAGAUAUGGAUAAGCUAUUACAAAUAAAUUCUUCAUUCAGAGGGCAGUGAGGCGCUGGCACAGCUGCCCAUGUAAGCUGUGGUGCCCCAUCCCUGGAGAUGCUCAAGUCCAGGUUGGAUGGGGCCCUGGGCAGCUGAGCUGAGGGGGGGCAGCCCUGUCCAUGGCACAGGGUGGGACUGGGUGGGCUUUGAGGUCCCUUCCAAACCAAAUGUAUGAUUCUGUAAAUUUUAGCACAUAAAUUGUUGAUAUAAAUUUUAGAAAAUGCAACCAGGUAUUUUCCUUCCUCACUUACAGCAAAUGCUUGAUCCACAAAAUGGGAAGUUUGUUACUGUGGUCUUAUCAACACUGUCAUAAAGAAGCCAGAUUCAUUACAAGUAAAGGUCUACACCUUGUAACAGUGUGAUCAGACAAAGACCUUGCAUUUACAUGUUAAUCUCUGAGCAGUGAGUGAUGUGUACUAAGCAUGUCCUUUGGUCAAGAUUGUUGCUUGUAACUGAAAAUAACAUGCUUUAACUUAAGAGUUUUGAGGAAUCUGGAAUUUAAAGCACUGACACCAUAAAGCUAGUCACUGUUCUUUGGGGCAGGUUCUGGCACCAGGGCCUCUUCAGUACCCUAACCACGAUGUAAAGCUGUUUUUCCUGGCAAAUAGACUGGAGAAAAUACGGUACAAACAACUAUUCUUCCCCAAACGAUGCUCAUCUCUAGAGUUGGGAAACAGAAUAUGCACUGCAAAAAAAGUAGUGACAUGGAACAGAUGAACUUGACUGCUGCUGCCUCCAGUAUACAUCAUUUUUCUUUUGUCCACGUUUGUAUAAAUGUCACACAGUGCUGCUAAUAUGAAUAGUCGAUGCCAAGUCUCUUUCUCUGCUGAAGAAGAGAACAACUGCAGCAGAGAAGUGAGUGUAUGGCUCCAAACCUGACUGUAGCUGUAAAAAAGGAUUUCGGAAAUGUGGUUGGGAAUGUCUUCAGGACCAGUAGCAGCCUCUGCUUCUUCAACAGUGCUUAAACUGAAAGAACAACCAAAGCAGUGACGGAUAGGGCCUUGCUAUAAUGAAAUCAGAGGAGAAAAAAAAGAACAAAUUUCGAAUUAGCUUAAAUGGUGUUGGGAUUCCUAGCAGAGGUAUAUAAUGCGGAGUGUGUUUUGAUUCACAUUCCAAUUUCUGGAUCAUAACAUCAUUCUGGGUUGUAUAAUUUCCACUGUGCUAUUAAAAAGAGGGGAAACUGAAAGCUGAACACGCAGGAUUGUAUGGUUUCUAAACUUUGCUUCAGAAUCUUACAUGUGCUUUCAUUGUUAGCCUGCUCUCUUGGGCACUCUCACUUGCUUACAUAUUCCCUUAAGACAACCUUUACAUGAGACAUUGACAGAAUUUUUACAGAGGUGAUAAAUCUUUUUCCUAGGCUACUAAUCUACUGUAUUUUAUUGUUUACUCAAGCAUUUCUUUCCCAGACUUCGAAAGCAAUUCAGGUACAGCGUCAUUCUUACCUUCAUUUUCUUGACGUGGAGAGAAAUCUUUCAAAUUUUUAACCAGAUCUUUGCAUGAACUGUUGAUAAUGCUUGGUCUGUCUUUCAACAUCAGUUUCACAUCUCCGUUACCCUUGCUAACUGAAGAAAUGGUCUAUCUGAAUCGAAGGAACAAUGACAUGUCUUUCCUUCUUCACUAGAGAACAGUAAAAUCAAACAAAUGAAACAGAAAUAACUCUACUUUCUUAAUACGACAUGUUUUACCUCUGUAACGGUUUCAUUUAUCAUAACAUAUGAAUAUUGACACAUUGUCAUUUACUUCUAUUCCUAAGCAUAUUUACAAUUAUUACAGACAAGUUCAUUUAAAGCCAGAAAUCUGUGCUACUACUUUCUACAAGAACAGCAUAGAAAAACUUUCUUCUUUUAUUCCUGCCUGUCCUUAACAUGAGCAGAAUUAGCAGGUAAUGAAAUAUAUUAGGAAGGAUUGAGUGUUAACUGCAAGAACCCAGCGCUCCACUUGUUAUUUUAAAAACAAUGAGUGUCACAUUUAAGAUGAUAAUGAGCAUCAGAGCUGAAGUGAGAUUAGAAACUUUUAAGUGAGCCUUAAUUACGUUUCUCAAUUCUCAGUAAUCGCCUGACAGUAAAUCCCUACUACGCCAGUCAAAGCAGAAUACGAGAGGGCUCUUUGUGUUUUCCUUUCUUAAAAUACUGCAAGGGCUUUCUGCAGGAUUUUCCUGAUAUCUUUUAUUCACCAUGUCACUAAUUAAGGGUUCAAAACUAAGUGGCCGGGGAUAUGCCUCCUCUAAUUACACAUCAUAAACUGUCUACUGUAUUUUGUAGCUUUAUUCUGAGUUUCUCAGGCUAUGUUUAGAAGCAAAAGGUCUCAAAUUCAGUUUGAUAUCAUGAAUAAUUCACUUAUUUCCUCGUACUCGCUUCUAAGAAACUGCCUAGGUUUAAUAUACUGUAGUCAAUAGGCAGCACCUAGUGGUCUUGAAAUGCAUACACUUUUCAAGUUCUUAGCAGUUCAACAUCUCAAAAUAAGCAUUUCAUGAACUAAAAGCAAUAAUUAGGUUUCAUAUGUGUAUGUGUGUUUGUAUAUGUGUUUGCAGGGGAAAGAAAAUACUCAAUUUCUGACUCUUUCUGAGGUCUAGAUCUUCAUGUAUAGGGAAUUUUUUCUGUAUUAAUUCAAAGAUUUAUAUAAGAUAAGAAAAAUCUUGAGGUGUUUAAAAGUCACUUGUUACAAUAGAGCUGAUCUAUAUAAUGACUUUGCAUUUAAGAAGAAAAACAAUAUCUGCCAUUCUUUGUAAUGAAUAACAUACUUUAAUAUAUUAAUCCAAAUGAGACUCUUCAAUUUUAAACUCAAGGCUUACAAUCAUGGUACCUGGCAGUAUUGAUGAUCAAACUUCAGAGAUGAUUUCAACUAAAAUGAAUUUAAAAGAAAAAGCUAUCUAAAAAACAGCUCUCUGUAAUUGCUAAGAAAAGAACAAAUUAAAAGGAGGAAAGUUGGUCAGUUAAGCUUAUUAUAACAAACUGAUAUCCGUAAGAUUGCAUACCUCAAAGAUAUGUUUCAUCUUUAAUCAUGUUACAAUAGUUGGAUCAUUAACUUUAGGUUUUUUACCAAUAAUUUGUUUACAGAUCCAUCAUGCAGGAUUUUUUUUUGCCUUCUACUGAGUUUCUCACUUCAAUAGCAAGUAUAUUAUAUCUGAGUCUAUGUGAAGUAUUGCUAGAAAUAGGAGUGAGAUAAACAGGCUUGCAUCAACAAAAAUACUCCUUGCAUUUUUCAGUGCUCUUCUGUAGUUUAUUGCAAACUUUGAUUCAGAAAAAAUAAAUAAUGCACCAGUAAAAAUCCAAUCUGAUCAAGAAGACAGUCUGUAUUUCUAUUUUUGGGUGCCAUGAAAGGUCAUAACAUGGAAUGACCAACAAAACAGUAGUAAAGCCUCUGGAUUGCCAUGGAUGGAUAGAGUUUCAUAGUUCUUAGACAUGUACUGAAGCUUUCAAAACUGCUGUCUUCUUUUAAAAUGAACCUUGUUACAUUCAAAACAAAUAAAAUACUGUAAAACUGAACGUAAAGCGUGCCUACAAAAUUAAAUCUGAAGCCACUGUACAACUACAAAGCUGUUCCACUGAAACUAAUGAAAAGAAAGGCAUUGCUCCUUUGAUAAUAAUUCUCUGUGAACCAAGGAAUUCAGCAAAAUACCUUUCUAAGACAUCUUUUCAUAGGAGAUGAGGAGCUUGUUGCCUUCAAAAAACGGACUUGUUCUUGUGGAAGACUACACAAAUCCAUAGCUAAAAUGUGUAGGCGCUCUACAUUUCCGUAUUUGUUAAAAGCAGGGACUUGAGUGCCUCUUUCCCCAGUCUUACCUAAACUAUGUCUUACUUAGAAUUAUAGAAUCUUAAAACUGUACAAUGCCCCAAGUUGGAAGUGACUCACAAGGAUCAUUGAGUCCAGCUCCUGGCUCCACACAGGACCACCUAAAAAUCAAUCUAUAUUUCUGAGAGUAUUGGCCAAACACCUCUUGAACUGAAGCAGGCUCGAGGUGAGGCUGCACAGAGCUCUCCCAGUGGCAGUGCUGGCCCUGAUACACCCCAAAGUGUGCUUGGCUCUUCUAGAUGCCUGGGCACACUGCUGACUCUGGUUCAAUUUGCUGUCAGCCAUAACCCUCAGAUUCCUCUCCACGGGAUUGCCUUCAUGCCUCUUAUCCUCAGCCUGUGGAAUGGCUUGGGUUGGAAGAGACCUCAAGAGUCAUGAAUCUCCAACCCCCCCUGCCACAUGCAGGGCCACAAACCUCCAU